UGGAGAAUCUAGCAGUAGUCAACCAAUGAGGGAAAAAUUCUGCAACUUUGUUAUUGCCCGUUGCUGGAUUCUUUAACAGUUGGGAGUAAAAACAGUUUGCUGCUCAUUGUAUCUCUCAGCAUCUCCAAAAAAAAAUUUCCAGAUUUUUUGUGAAACCCAUAGACCGCCUGCAAAAUAUCAGAGUUUGGAUCAUGACGAUGUUGUUGCGGGUGGGGCAAUAUCUGGUAAUAUUAUAUUGUACAAGCUGA
rnacentral:lncRNA from 1 species